rnacentral:rRNA from 1 species
GACGAACGCUGGCGGCGUGCUUAACACAUGCAAGUCGAACGAAGAGCGAUGGAAGCUUGCUUCUAUCAAUCUUAGUGGCGAACGGGUGAGUAACGCGUAAUCAACCUGCCCUUCAGAGGGGGACAACAGUUGGAAACGACUGCUAAUACCGCAUACGAUCUAAUCUCGGCAUCGAGGAUAGAUGAAAGGUGGCCUCUAUGUAUAAGCUAUCACUGAAGGAGGGGAUUGCGUCUGAUUAGCUAGUUGGAGGGGUAACGGCCCACCAAGGCGAUGAUCAGUAGCCGGUCUGAGAGGAUGAACGGCCACAUUGGGACUGAGACACGGCCCAGACUCCUACGGGAGGCAGCAGUGGGGAAUCUUCCGCAAUGGACGAAAGUCUGACGGAGCAACGCCGCGUGAGUGAUGACGGCCUUCGGGUUGUAAAGCUCGGUUAAUCGGGACGAAAGGCCUUCUUGCGAAUAGUGAGAAGGAUUGACGGUACCGGAAUAGAAAGCCACGGCUAACUACGUG